UUUAUGUAUAAAAGACCUAACUUAACCUAACCUAAUCGCAAUCUCCUUCUCUUCUCUUCUGCGGCCUCUCCCUCUUCUGAGUCUUCUCUCCUUCUCAGACAGACUCAUCUCCAUCCAAGUCUCCAACUCCAUUCUUUUUUCUUCUCUCAGUCUCAGAUUCUCUUUGUGGAUCAUCGGCAUCACCAGAAGCAAACCAAUAACGGAAGAUUGAAGAACAGAACCCAGCUAUCUUCUUUUACCCAGUUGGUAAAUAAAUCAUUCUUUACCUCUCAAACUGCAUCCACAUUACAGU